UAGGGAAUCUUCCACAAUGGACGCAAGUCUGAUGGAGCAACGCCGCGUGAGUGAAGAAGGUUUUCGGACCGUAAAGCUCUGUUGUUGGUGAAGAAGGAUAGAGGUAGUAACUGGCCUUUAUUUGACGGUAAUCAACCAGAAAGUCACGGCUAACUACGUGCCAGCAGCCGCGGUAAUACGUAGGUGGCAAGCGUUGUCCGGAUUUAUUGGGCGUAAAGCGAGCGCAGGCGGAAGAAUAAGUCUGAUGUGAAAGCCCUCGGCUUAACCGAGGAAUUGCAUCGGAAACUGUUUUCUUGAGUGCAGAAGAGGAGAGUAGAACUCCAUGUGUAGCGGUGGAAUGCGUAGAUAUAUGGAAGAAUACCAGUGGCGAAGGCGGCUCUCUGGUCUGCAACUGACGCUGAGGUUCGAAAGCAUGGGUAGCGAACAGGAUUAGAUACCCUGGUAGUCCAUGCCGUAAACGAUGAGUGCUAAGUGUUGGGAGGCUUCCGCCUCUCAGUGCUGCAGCUAACGCAUUAAGCACUCCGCCUGGGGAGUACGACCGCAAGGUUGAAAC
rnacentral:rRNA from 1 species